UUUUAUGCGUCUGCAUGUGGACAUCAGUAACCGGGGUUUUGCGUUUCGAAACGUCACCGCCUGCGACAAAAUAUGUUCUUACGUCACAUAUGCGACCUGUGUUUACAUUCGGUAACAGCAUGGAUGCUCUCACAAGGUUUUGGACGCUGUUUCUUGUACAGGCGCUUUUUACUUGCUUGUUUUUACAAGCCCAGAUACUGCUCCACAUUCAACAACACAGGCGAAGGACGACGUUAAGGAUGGUUAUUCUCCACCACCUUGCUAGGAUUUGGGGAACUACUGCCACCUAAAGGUCUGGCAUGCUUAUGAAUGUGCUGAAAAACGCACUUAUGCGGUUAGGUGUGGAUGAAGUUUUUUUUUCUAAAAACGAGGUGGUGUGUACGUAAUUUUUUUUUUUUUUUUUUUUUUUUCUCUCCUCUAGACGGAGGGGACAGGAUAUUCGGUUUUACAAAAACCCGGCUACGUGUGGACAAGGCCUUAGAGUUACCAGUUAACUAGAGCAUGUUUUUGGACUGUAGGAGGAAGCCGGAGAACCCAGUGAAAACCUACGCAUGCAUUGGGAGAACAUGCAAACUCCAUGCAUGAAGAUCCCAGAAAGGCGGGGCGUGAACCAGAAGAGAACAGAAGCACUAAAGUGUCAUCAGAUGGCAGCUCCAGUCUGGACCAUAACUCCCAGAAUCCUUCAGUCAGCUGUCUAGACCACAACCCCCAGAAUCCUUUAGCCAGCUGUCUGCACAGCAACUCCCAGAAUAAUUCAGUCAACUUUCCCCCACUGUUAGAACAAGUAGUCAGGAUCGUCGUCUCAAGGGUGAACCUGGGCUGCUGUUUGGACCUGAAGCUAAUCGCCAGGAACACACGGAACAUCGAGUACAAACCGAAGGUACACAAGCAGGAACGCAGAAGCCACAACUACAGGUGGAACGUUUUUGCAUGAGGUUUCAGUUUUGCUCCGCAGGCCAAGAACCACAGCAAACAUCUUCAAUUCUGGGGUUCUGAUCUGCAGUGGAGCCACGAGCGUGGAAGAGUCGAAGGUGGCGGCCAGGAGAUUUACUCGCAUCGUGCAGAAACUUGGGUUCCCCGUCCGGUUCCUCAACUUCAAGAUCCAGCUCAUGGUGGCCACUUGCAGCAGCUUCCCAGUGUUUCUGGAGGAACUGGCACUGGCCCACAGUGAGCACUGCAGGUCAGAACACACCGGGUCGGGUUCUAGAGGUUCCAAGGUUCCAUUAGGAGGUUCUCGUGGGUAUGACAGAAGCUCUAAAGAUCAUGUAGUGCUUGUAGUCUCUGAGUAGGUUCCUUUAAAUAGUUCUAAUGUGCUGUUGGAAGGUUCUAGAGAUCCUUAUAAGUCAUUGUACUUGUUCCAAAUGUGAUGUUGAGGUAAUUGCAGAGGUUCUACAUGUUGUUUACAUAACUGGAGUGUUCCUCUGUGUUCCUAGUAUACCUUUAUUUUUUUAUACAUAGUUCUGGUUUGUCAUUAGGAAGUUCUGGAGGACUUUUAAGUCAUUUUGUAGGUUCUAGAUAUAGUUUACAUACUUGUGGUGUUUCUUUAUGAGUUCCAAUUAAAGAGGCGAUUUAUGUGGUUCUAAUAGUUGUGAAAGAGGUUCUUGUGUCCCUUAAGAUAGUUCUACUGUUCCUUCAAAAAUAGGUAGUAGGAAGGUUUUAGCAUUAACUACUGCAAAUUUAUCGCUAAGGUGGUUCUGGGGGUCAUGCAAUGGAUUCUUGUAGUAACUAAUGGUUCCAGUUUACCUUCUAGAUGUUGUUUACAAAACUGUAGUGUUGCUUUAGGAGUUCUAAUAUUCUAGUGGGGAGGUUAUGGAGGUAAUUUAUCAGAUAUUUCUCAUGAUACUGAGGUUCUAUGUGUUCUCCAUUCUCCACAGUUAUGAAUCAGAGCUGUUCUCUUGCGCCCACUACUGGUUGCAGCCCGGCCACUGCAUGACCAUCUCUGCGCUGUGCAACCUCACACUGAGCGGUAACCGAGUUGAACUUCCUGAUCACACAGAUUGAUCAGGUUCAGACACAUCCAUCGGUUAUCAGUCUCUGAUGUCCUGCAGGAACCCAAACUCAUGUAGCUUUUACUGGACACUGAGAAUAUUCUAAGGGUUCUGUAAGAACUGGAGGAACUUCUGUAAAUCGUGUGGUCACUGAGGAGGAUCUGAGAUUCCUUUACAUAGUUGUAGCGUUUUGAGAAUGGGACUUAAGGAAUUUUGGAGACCAUUUCUCAAGAGGUUUAGAUGGUUGUCCAAGUCCUAAAAGUAGGUCAGAUUCUGGUUCAUCCAUUUUGUAAUCCUAAAGGUACUCAAGUAGUAGUAGUCAAGUAGUACACCAGAGGAAAAUCAGGGGUCCAUUAAGAAGUUCUAAUGAGCAUUGAGGAGGUUUUAGAGUUGCUCUAUGUGGUUCUAGUGAACCAUCAGGAAUUUUGGAAAUAGUUUUACUCUUCCCAAAGGGAUUUGAGGUCAUUGAGGAUGCUCUAGAUGUUGUUUACAUCACUGUAAGGUUCUAUAGAGUUCUUGGGGUCACUCAAUAGGUUCUAGGCAAUUUAUCCAACUCUGAUGGCUACUAAUAUGGUUCUGGGGUCCUACAGCGGACCCCUAGACCCCAUCCUACAAUGAAUUCUUGUACUAACUAUAGUUCUUGUAGUUCUAACGGUAGUUCCAGUGCCAUUUUGAGAAGUAACUGAGAAAGGUUCGUUGGGGAAUUGUAGUGUUCCUUCAAAAUAGUAAGUUUUAGUGCACAACAGACAAUUAAAGUACUUGAGAAUUAGCUCCAGUGUUGUUUCUUGAGGUUCUGAUAGUCCUUUAGGAGGCUACGGAGGGCCUUAAGAUAAUGACUGUUUCCCUAGUGACUUUGGGGUCAUUAAAGAGGUUCUAGAUGUUAUUUUCACACUUUUAGUACUCCUUUAGGACACACUAGUGGUCACUCAGAAGGUUCUAGAGGUCCCCAAGAUAGAUGUGGUGCUCCUUCUGGAGGUUACACUGGUCCCUUGGGAAGUUCUGGACAUUUGUUAGGUCAGUAGUGUUCCCCUGAGGAUCCUGGAGUCAGUAAUGAGGUCAAGAAAGGGGGUUAGCAAUCACUGCAGAGGUUCAUGAAGCACUUCUAAUGUUUAUUAGGGAGGUUUUUGGGUUCCUUAAGGUAGUUAGUGUUUCUUUAAGUGGUGAUAUUAUACGGAGGUUCUGUGUUAUUUCCAUACCUGUAGCGCUCCUUUAAGAGGGUCUAAUGGCCACUGUGGUGAUUCAAGAAGUAAUUUCUCUUAUUCUGUUGGUUGUUGGAGGUUCUAAACGUUUUGUAACUAGAACGCUUACACCUACAUUAAGGCAGUUCCAGUGCUUUUUGAGAGGGUUCUAGAGGUUCCUAUGUAUGUAAGCCUAGCAGUCCUUUAGGGUCACUGAAUAGGUCUUUCAUGGAGUUCUGUAAGUUCCUCUGUCUUUGCACUGAGGAGGUUCUGAGGCUUUAGAAGAUUUAGAAGGUUAUUUAUGUGUUGGCCUCUUGAGAAUAUCUUCUUGUGCUCUUUCUUAAAUUAUCGCCAGGUUUCACUUCUGUGAGUCUUUAGAACAUGUUCUGAGUUAGUCAUGACACAGAUGAGUUCUAAUAUUGAAAUUGUUUAUUCCUAGGACCUAAAACUCUGACCGACUUGCACAGAGGCUUCAAGAUCAUCUAUCCGAUCCUGUGCAACUUCAGGGCCACAAAAUUGACGAGGAAGCUAGUGAUGAAAACAAAUUAAUAAUAGAUUAAAUAAAGUAAUUAAAAAAAACUAUUGAUGAAAAUAAGUUAAUACGUGUAUAACUGAUGUUUGCAUGUAGAUUUUUUUUUCUAAUUCAAAGACUGAAUAUUUUCCUUUUAUCAAGAGUAGAUAUAGAGAAAUCGGUAGUGACAGGUUCUAUUCAAACAUGAGCUGUAGCUCCUCACAACACCACCAGAUGUCAGGAUUGACCAACAGAACUUCUAUCAUUUUUCCUUCUAGUGUGUAGCUGUCAGCCUGUUUACAUUUUUAGACCAUUUAAAAGAAGGUAGUUAUUCACUGGAGCAGAAAUCUAUCAGGAUCUUCCUCAACAAGGUUAAAAUUAAUCACAUAAUCACUGUGAAGGUUCUGAUAGUUUUCAGGGACUUCUAGUGCUCUUUAAAUAAUUCAGAGUUCUUAAAUAGAGUUUGUCCUGUAGUUAAGGACAUCCUGGUGUCAGGCUGGCUGCUGCCAGGCUGAGAUAGUGCCUCUCCCUCUUCCUCCGCCCUUUUUUCCUUUUUAGGAUUCAGCAGUGCAGUGGCUGCAGCAGGUGAUCCUCAUCAUUUAUCAUCAUCAGCCUGGAGAAGGAGCAGGUGGUCUCUGCCAAUCAAGUCGUCUCUCAACACAAUAUAGUCUGAUGCCAUUCACCUCUCUGUGCCGGAUCGUGACACCACCAUUCCACCUGUUCCUGCUGGUUUCCACGGGCUCCAUUGUCAGCUCCAGUUCUGGUGCCACUCAGCGUCCUGGAAUUCACUCACCUGUGUUGUUUCCACCUCCUGGUUUCCUUCCACACCGUCCUGCCGCAGCAUCUCGACAACCACCACCUGGACACAGGCCUGCCAGCCCAGAACAACGCACCUCCACAGUUCGUUACCUAGUCCGAGCAUCUCGUAGUAGUUUUUGUGAGUUAAUUCAAGUUUUGCAGUUUCGCGUACUCGUUGGUUUCCUGGCUUAGUUCCUAGUUUUUGUAACUGAGUGAAUUUGAGGUAUCUUUCUUGCCUGGGUGUUAUCCAACGUGAGUUGGAAUUUUGUAGUGUAUCCUCCUCGCCAAUAGUAGUCGCCAUAGGUUGGCAAUCUGUUUUUGUUGACGUACUUCCUGUUUUAGUUCUCCGUUACGAUUUAUAAUACCUCUAAGUUUUUGUAAAUAAAC